rnacentral:rRNA from 1 species
GUGCCAGCCGCGGCGGUAAUACGUAGGUGGCAAGCGUUGUCCGGAUUUAUUGGGCGUAAAGGGAACGCAGGCGGUCUUUUAAGUCUGAUGUGAAAGCCUUCGGCUUAACCGAAGUCGUGCAUUGGAAACUGGGAGACUUGAGUGCAGAAGAGGAGAGUGGAACCCCAUGUGUAGCGGUGAAAUGCGUAGAUAUAUGGAAGAACACCAGUGGCGAAAGCGGCUCUCUGGUCUGUAACUGACGCUGAGGUUCGAAAGCGUGGGUAGCAAACAGGAUUAGAUACCCUGGUAGUCCACGCUGUAAACGAUGAAUGCUAAGUGUUGGAGGGUUUCCGCCCUUCAGUGCCGCAGCAAACGCAUUAAGCAUUCCGCCUGGGGAGUACGACCGCAAGGUUGAAACUCAAAGGAAUUGACGGGGGCCCGCACAAGCGGUGGAGCAUGUGGUUUAAUUCGAAGCAACGCGAAGAACCUUACCAGGUCUUGACAUCUUCUGAUAACCUAGAGAUUAGGUGUUCCCUCGGGGACAGAAUGACAGGU